GUCUAAGUAUAAGCAAUCAUACUGUGAAACUGCGAAUGGCUCAUUAUAUCAGUUAUCGUUUAUUUGAUAGUACCUUACUACAUGGAUAACCGUGGUAAUUCUAGAGCUAAUACAUGCUAAAAACCUCGACUUCGGAAGGGGUGUAUUUAUUAGAUAAAAAACCAAUGCCCUUUGGGCUCCUUGGUGAUUCAUAAUAACUUUACGAAUCGCAUGGCCUUGCGCCGGCGAUGGUUCAUUCAAAUUUCUGCCCUAUCAACUUUCGAUGGUAGGAUAGUGGCCUACCAUGGUUUCCACGGGUAACGGGGAAUUAGGGUUCGAUUCCGGAGAGGGAGCCUGAGAAACGGCUACCACAUCCAAGGAAGGCAGCAGGCGCGCAAAUUACCCAAUCCCAAUUCGGGGAGGUAGUGACAAUAAAUACUGAUGCAGGGCUCUUUUGGGUCUUGCAAUCGGAAUGAGUACAGUCUAAAUCCCUUAACGAGGAACAAUUGGAGGGCAAGUCUGGUGCCAGCAGCCGCGGUAAUUCCAGCUCCAAUAGCGUAUAUUAAAGUUGUUGCAGUUAAAAAGCUCGUAGUUGAACCUUGGGUCUGGCUGGUUGGUCCGCCUCACCGCGUGUACUGAUCCGGCCGGACCUUUCCUCCUGGGGAAUCGCAUGCCCUUCACUGGGUGUGCUGGGGAACCAGGACUUUUACUUUGAAAAAAUUAGAGUGUUCAAAGCAGGCCUUCGCUCGAAUACAUUAGCAUGGAAUAAUAGAAUAGGACGUGUGGUUCUAUUUUGUUGGUUUCUAGGACCGCCGUAAUGAUUAAUAGGGAUAGUCGGGGGCAUCAGUAUUCAAUUGUCAGAGGUGAAAUUCUUGGAUUUAUUGAAGACUAACUACUGCGAAAGCAUUUGCCAAGGAUGUUUUCAUUAAUCAGUGAACGAAAGUUAGGGGAUCGAAGACGAUCAGAUACCGUCGUAGUCUUAACCAUAAACUAUGCCGACUAGGGAUCGGGCGAUGUUAUCUUUUGACUCGCUCGGCACCUUACGAGAAAUCAAAGUCUUUGGGUUCUGGGGGGAGUACGUCAGCAAUGAUGAAACUUAAAGAAAU
rnacentral:rRNA from 1 species